rnacentral:rRNA from 1 species
GAUGAACGCUGGCGGCGUGCCUAAUACAUGCAAGUCGAGCGAAUGGAUUAAGAGCUUGCUCUUAUGAAGUUAGCGGCGGACGGGUGAGUAACACGUGGGUAACCUGCCCAUAAGACUGGGAUAACUCCGGGAAACCGGGGCUAAUACCGGAUAACAUUUUGAACCGCAUGGUUCGAAAUUGAAAGGCGGCUUCGGCUGUCACUUAUGGAUGGACCCGCGUCGCAUUAGCUAGUUGGUGAGGUAACGGCUCACCAAGGCAACGAUGCGUAGCCGGCCUGAGAGGGUGGUCGGCCACACUGGGACUGAGACACGGCCCAGACUCCUACGGGAGGCAGCAGUAGGGAAUCUUCCGCAAUGGACGAAAGUCUGACGGAGCAACGCCGCGUGAGUGAUGAAGGUCUUUGGAUUGUAAACUCCUGUCAGCAGGGAAAAGCGACUUAGCCUAAUACGCUAGGGAGUUGAUUGUACCUGCAGAGGAAGCCCCGGCUAACUCUGUGCCAGCCGCCGCGGUAA